rnacentral:RNase_P_RNA from 1 species
AACGUAUAUGGCUAGGUAAACCCCACUUGGAGCAAGACCAGACAGAUAGCGUUUGAGAACUGCUCGUUCGAGCUAUCGGGUAGGUCGCUUGAUUACGUAAGCAAUUACGUAACUAGAUGGAUGGUGAUCCUUCUAACCAUGUAAAUGGGAAGAGGACAGGAUCCGGCUUAUAGGGCGACUCUUCUU